rfam:Heterocephalus glaber contig152395, whole genome shotgun sequence.
GGGAAACGGCCGGCAGGGCCCGCUCCAGGCCCCGAAACAAAUGUAUGGGGCC